CCAGACGCUUCCGGGUAGUCGUGCGGUGUACUACCGAAGGUCUCGGGCAAGGCACCUGCCGGGUAGCUGUACCACCAUUAAGACGCAAUAUCUAAAAGUUAUUUUGCUGUGGCCUCUGAAUAGUGCCCCUGUCGGACCAAUGUGAGUAUUAAAGCAGCUGUUCAUAGGAGAGGUUCCUGGG